GCCUCGGUAGCUCAGUCGGUAGAGCAUGAGGCUCUUGAUCUCAGGGUUGUGGGUUCGAGAGCCACCUUGGGCA